rnacentral:rRNA from 1 species
AACGAACGCUGGCGGCAUGCCUAACACAUGCAAGUCGAACGAUCCCUUCGGGGAUAGUGGCGCACGGGUGCGUAACGCGUGGGAAUCUGCCCUUGGGUUCGGAAUAACAGUUAGAAAUGACUGCUAAUACCGGAUGAAGUCUUCGGACCAAAGAUUUAUCGCCCAGGGAUGAGCCCGCGUAGGAUUAGGUAGUUGGUGAGGUAAAGGCUCACCAAGCCGACGAUCCUUAGCUGGUCUGAGAGGAUGAUCAGCCACACUGGGACUGAGACACGGCCCAGACUCCUACGGGAGGCAGCAGUGGGGAAUAUUGGACAAUGGGCGCAAGCCUGAUCCAGCAAUGCCGCGUGAGUGAUGAAGGCCUUCGGGUCGUAAAGCUCUUUUACCCGGGAUGAUAAUGACAGUACCGGGAGAAUAAGCUCCGGCUAACUCCGUGCCAGCAGCCGCAGUAAAAC